CACGUAGGGCGCAAGCGUUGUCCGGAAUUAUUGGGCGUAAAGAGCUCGUAGGCGGUCUGUUGCGUCCGCUGUGAAAACUCGGGGCUUAACCCCGAGCCUGCAGUGGAUACGGGCAGACUAGAGGUAGGUAGGGGAGAAUGGAAUUCCCGGUGUAGCGGUGAAAUGCGCAGAUAUCGGGAGGAACACCGGUGGCGAAGGCGGUUCUCUGGGCCUUACCUGACGCUGAGGAGCUAAA
rnacentral:rRNA from 1 species